rnacentral:rRNA from 1 species
AAGGAUCAUUACCGAGAGAGGGGCCUCGAGCUCCCGGGGGCUUCGGCCCCCAACGAUUCACCCUUUGUCUACCUACCUUUGUUGCUUUGGCGGACCUCGGGUUCCUUCUCGCGCUGGCCUCCGGGUCGGUGAGCGUCCGUCAGAGGCCCAUUUAAAUUCAAUUUAUCAGUGAUGUCUGAGCGAAAACACAAUUAGUAAAAACUUUCAACAACGGAUCUCUUGGUUCCAGCAUCGAUGAAGAACGCAGCGAAAUGCGAUAAGUAAUGUGAAUUGCAGAAUUCAGUGAAUCAUCGAAUCUUUGAACGCACAUUGCGCCCCUCGGUAUUCCGGGGGGCAUGCCUGUUCGAGCGUCAUUGCACCCCUCAAGCGUAGCUUGGUAUUGGGUCCUCGCCCCUGCGGCGUACCCGAAAAUCAGUGGCGGUCCGGCGUGACUUUAAGCGUAGUAAAUUCUCUCCCGCUUUGAAAGUUCGCGGCGUGAUCGGCCAGACAACCCCAAUCGCUUCAAUAAUUGACCUCGGAUCAGGUAGGGAUACCCGCUGAACUUAA